CAAUAAAAUAAUAUAUUUACAGGGUGAGAUGAAAAAACUGCAAUCAACUUCAGACUGCUGUCAUUUCUAAGUCACUCGUCUGACAGCUGUUAAAAUUAUUCCAGUGACAGCUCAUUAUAUUGUUUGCAAUCGUACAAAAGCAUUUUGGUGAGAUAUUUUCAGAAAAAAGUUAUUCGUGAUGAAAUUUAAGCGUGAUAGUGUGAUUUCUUUAUAUUUGACUAGAAAACCACAAGUGGCUAUCGUUAAAGCUCUCCAGCAUUUAAAUGUGAAUAAAUCGUUUGUGUCUCGUACCAUCGCUCGUUACCUUGAUAAUGGUAGAGUAGCCCGACGUCAAGGAAGUGGACGGAAGAAAACAGCAACAUCAGCAGAAAUGGUUCGAAAAUGGUGAACUGCCGAAUUUGGUUUUCUCCGAUGAGAAAACAUUCGUUGUCCCGCAAUUUGUAAACCAACAAUAUGAUCGUGUUUACUUGCCAAAGAGGUCAGCUGAAAAUGUGCACCUUCGGUUGGCCAUCAGAACUCAAUCGCCGGCCAUGGUGUGGGCCGCCAUAACAGCAGAUGGUCGUUCUCCGCUCGCAUUAAUCGACCCUGGCAUCAGAAUAAA